rnacentral:rRNA from 1 species
GUGGAUGCCCUGGCAGUCAGAGGCGAUGAAGGACGUGCUAAUCUGCGAUAAGCGUCGGUGAGGUGAUAUGAACCGUUAUAACCGGCGAUUUCCGAAUGGGGAAACCCAGUGUGUUUCGACACACUAUCAUUAACUGAAUCCAUAGGUUAAUGAGGCGAACCGGGGGAACUGAAACAUCUAAGUACCCCGAGGAAAAGAAAUCAACCGAGAUUCCCCCAGUAGCGGCGAGCGAACGGGGAGGAGCCCAGAGCCUGAAUCAGUGUGUGUGUUAGUGGAAGCGUCUGGAAAGGCGCGCGAUACAGGGUGACAGCCCCGUACACAAAAAUGCACAUAUUGUGAGCUCGAUGAGUAGGGCGGGACACGUGGUAUCCUGUCUGAAUAUGGGGGGACCAUCCUCCAAGGCUAAAUACUCCUGACUGACCGAUAGUGAACCAGUACCGUGAGGGAAAGGCGAAAAGAACCCCGGCGAGGGGAGUGAAAAAGAACCUGAAACCGUGUACGUACAAGCAGUGGGAGCCUCUUAAUGGGGUGACUGCGUACCUUUUGUAUAAUGGGUCAGCGACUUAUAUUCUGUAGCAAGGUUAACCGAAUAGGGGAGCCGAAGGGAAACCGAGUCUUAACUGGGCGUUAAGUUGCAGGGUAUAGACCCGAAACCCGGUGAUCUAGCCAUGGGCAGGUUGAAGGUUGGGUAACACUAACUGGAGGACCGAACCGACUAAUGUUGAAAAAUUAGCGGAUGACUUGUGGCUGGGGGUGAAAGGCCAAUCAAACCGGGAGAUAGCUGGUUCUCCCCGAAAGCUAUUUAGGUAGCGCCUCGUGAAUUCAUCUCCGGGGGUAGAGCACUGUUUCGGCAAGGGGGUCAUCCCGACUUACCAACCCGAUGCAAACUGCGAAUACCGGAGAAUGUUAUCACGGGAGACACACGGCGGGUGCUAACGUCCGUCGUGAAGAGGGAAACAACCCAGACCGCCAGCUAAGGUCCCAAAGUCAUGGUUAAGUGGGAAACGAUGUGGGAAGGCCCAGACAGCCAGGAUGUUGGCUUAGAAGCAGCCAUCAUUUAAAGAAAGCGUAAUAGCUCACUGGUCGAGUCGGCCUGCGCGGAAGAUGUAACGGGGCUAAACCAUG